UACAGAGGUCUCAAGCGUUGUUCGGAUUCAUUGGGCGUAAAGGGUGCGUAGGCGGCGCGGUAAGUCGGGUGUGAAAUCUUGGAGCUUAACUCCGAAACUGCAUUCGAUACUGCCGUGCUUGAGGACUGGAGAGGAGACUGGAAUUUACGGUGUAGCAGUGAAAUGCGUAGAGAUCGUAAGGAAGACCAGUGGCGAAGGCGGGUCGUCUGGACAGUUCCUGACACUGAGGCACGAAGGCCAGGGGAGCAAACGGG
rnacentral:rRNA from 1 species